rnacentral:lncRNA from 1 species
GGCCGACGAUGACGUCACCGCCGAAGUGUCACCCGGCCCCGCCCCCGCGGGAGGCGACGAAGACCCGGCGGGAACCGGAAGGGGCGGGGCCACGGAAGGAGCGGGGGGCCUUGGGGACAUGGAGGGACACCCGAGUGACGUCACCGGAGGUGCCACCACCGCCGUGACCUCGGGAGGUGACAAAGUCCUGGUGGCCACCGCUGGGGGCGUGGCCACGGAGGGGACAGAGGGACUGGGUGUCACCGGUGGCCUUGGGGACACUUUGGGACGCGUCACCGAAGCCCCCGGAGAUGCCACCACCAUGGUUGGAACCGUGACCACGUCCCCAGGAGGUGACAAAUCCCUGCUGGCCCCUGGUGGGGACGUGGCCAUGGAGGGGACGGCCCAGCCCGGUGCCACCAACUGCUCCUGGGACACUU